AAGUCGUAACAAGGUUUCUGUAGGUGAACCUGCGGAAGGAUCAUUAAAAAAAUACGCCUAGUAAAAGUGUGAAAACGCUGGAUCCAGUGCUGUAUACAACUACCUGUUUACCUUUACCUAUUACUUCCAUAGAAUUAUGGGUACUCUUCCUAUUCACAGGCUCGAGUUACCUUCCAUGGGUGUAUUUAAAAAAUUGUUUUGUAUUAUUGUCUGAUUUAAAAUUUUAAUAAAAGUUAAAACUUUCAACAAUGAAUUUCUAGGUUCUU
rnacentral:misc_RNA from 1 species